AGAGUUUGAUCAUGGCUCAGAACGAACGCUGGCGGCAUGCCUAAUACAUGCAAGUCGAACGCGUGGAGCAAUCCACGAGUGGCGGACGGGUGAGUAACGCGUGGGAACCUGCCCUUGAGUGCGGGAUAACCGAGGGAAACUUCGGCUAAUACCGCAUGCGCCCCCUCACGGGGGGAAAGAUUUAUCGCUCGAGGAGGGGCCCGCGUCGGAUUAGCUAGUUGGUGGGGUAACGGCCUACCAAGGCGAUGAUCCGUAGCUGGUCUGAGAGGAUGAUCAGCCACACUGGGACUGAGACACGGCCCAGACUCCUACGGGAGGCAGCAGUAGGGAAUAUUGGACAAUGGGGGCAACCCUGAUCCAGCAAUGCCGCGUGAGUGAUGAAGGCCUUAGGGUUGUAAAGCUCUUUCGCACGCGACGAUGAUGACGGUAGCGUGAGAAGAAGCCCCGGCUAACUUCGUGCCAGCAGCCGCGGUAAUACGAAGGGGGCGAGCGUUGUUCGGAAUUACUGGGCGUAAAGGGCGCGCAGGCGGCCGAUCAAGUCAGGCGUGAAAGCCCCGGGCUUAACCUGGGAAUUGCGCUUGGGACUGAUGGGCUAGAGUUCGGGAGAGGAGAGUGGAAUUCCCAGUGUAGAGGUGAAAUUCGUAGAUAUUGGGAAGAACACCGGUGGCGAAGGCGGCUCUCUGGACCGAUACUGACGCUGAGGCGCGAAAGCGUGGGGAGCAAACAGGAUUAGAUACCCUGGUAGUCCACGCUGUAAACGAUGUGCGCUAGACGUUGGAGGGCGUAGCCUUCCGGUGUCGCAGCUAACGCUUUAAGCGCACCGCCUGGGGAGUACGGCCGCAAGGUUAAAACUCAAAGGAAUUGACAGGGGCCCGCACAAGCGGUGGAGCAUGUGGUUCAAUUCGGACGCAACGCGAAGAACCUUACCAGCUCUUGACAUGUCAGGACGGUACCCGGGAG
rnacentral:rRNA from 1 species